GGAUGUUGAUACAGUCUGUGGAACAGCUGUGAAAGAACAACAAAGGUGACACGACAUCGACAGGGUCGACGACAAAAACAAGGGGGAAAUACAACGAAGCAGGUUUUAACAUUCGUGUAGACACAGAACUUCGAAAAUCACAGAAUCACGGUGAGAAAAGGUUGGUCACUGCUGACAACACCACUAUGGGAAGGAUCUUCCUGGACCACAUCGGUGGAACAUGCCUGUUCUCCUGCACCACUUGUGACACCAUCCUGACCAACCGCUCAGAGCUCAUCUCCACAAGCUUCACCGGCACAACGGGCCGAGCCUUCCACUUCACCAUGAUGAGCCCGGUGAUAGUCUACUACUCCUACUACAGUAGGGUCCUUGUUGAAUCUGAAGACUGGGCGAGUUAAGGCUGUGAAAACGAACAUGCGAUAGUGACAGUGUGGCUCCAGAGGUUGCCGUGGUGACAGUGUGGCUCCAGAGGUUGCCGUGGUGACAGUGUCCAAGUCAGAGUCCAAACUGUCAAGACUAACAGGAGUGGAUCAACAAUACUAAGAUCCAGAAUGGUGGGGCAAAUUGUGAGUCUAUUUCAACCAUGCUCGCUCUCCCUUCCCCCACUCCCUCCCUCGCUCCUUUCACCCUCUUGAAGUGCCUAGUGUGGAGACGGGCGGUCAAUGGGAGCAACUCAGGAGCACUCUUCUCCAAUGCGCUGGCACGAGCGGCCCACCUUGCGGUCCAGCUUCACCAUCUUGAGGACGGCCUCCUCGCGCCCACGCCCCAGGUGGUCGAACAGGCAGUCGUGCUGCUCAGGUAGACGGUGCAGCAUGCAGAACACGUAGCCUAGGAGAGGAAGAAAGACAGAAGGAGAACAAUGUUAAAAUGACUGAAGUCGCAGUUAGGAGACAUGAAAACUAAGGGCAGAUGGGUUUGUGUCGUUCCCAUGCAGUACUUACCGCAGCGACAGGAGCCCAGUUCCUGCUGUACCAGCUCCAGUUUGGUUUGGCAGCGAUAGCAGCGCCGGCGGUUUUUCUGCUUGGGUCCUGGGCUAGGCUCCUCGCUAACCGCCUCCCCCUCCUCAGAGUCCCCCCGUGCCCGUUUCUCCGGUGACGCCUCGCUCUCCAGCCCUGAAGCUGAAAGAACAGAAGGUUACACGGUGUCAGAGUCCAACGUACAGUUUUGCACAAACACUGAGCAGGAGCAAGGCUGUACCUGAUUCGCAAGGACGUUUUUUGGGCGUACAGAGGGUACCUUGGGCUGUUUCUGUGCAUGAUAAUAGUUCUGUGGAGAGAGAGAGAAAAAAAAAAAGUGUAAGACAGGAAACAUUCCUCAUUGAUCAAGAGCCCAGAUGUGUCACCUAGACCAAGAAAAAGGGGAAUUAGAUACAGCUUUGAAGACAAAACAAUCUUGAAUUAAAGACCUUGUGGCAAUGUUAUGUAAUAAGAUAAGCUCAAGUAAUUGCAAAAUUCAUAUAAAAAUCCUGACAUGCCAAGUCUGUUUAUAUCAACAUACCCUUACAUUAACAUGAAGGUAACAAAACAAGAUACUGCAGUUGGUUUAAAACUGGGAACCUUAAGUGAAAUCCUGGGAGAAGCAAGCAGAUCUUAAGAUUGUCAGUGCAACUGUGUUGCCCCACUAUGCGUCCUAUCUAGGCCAGGCUGAGUGCAUGCAUUGCCAGCAGAGUAAGACACACACACAGAACCACUCCUCCAGAGGCAGAAAUAGAAGCAAGCUGUCAGUCCAACCUUACAGACCUCUGCCAACACAGAUCAUGAAAUACAUACAGUGUAUAUACACUGAGUGUACAAAACAUUAAGAACACAGGCUCUUUCCAUGACAGACACCGGGUGAAAGCUAUGAUCCCUUAUUGAAGUCACAUGUUAAGUCUACGUCAAGCAAUGUAGAUGGAGAGGAGACCGGUUAAAGAAAGAUUUUUAAGCAGAGACAUGGAUUGUUUGUGUGCCAUUCAGAGGGUGAACGGACAAGACAAAAUGUUUAAGUGCCUUUGGACUGGGUAUGGUAGGUGCCAGGUGCACUGGUUUGUGUCAAGAACUGCAAAGCCGCUGGGUGGAGGUUUCCACCCUUAACAGUGUGUAUCAAGAAUGGUCCACCACCUAAAGGACAUCCAGCCAACUUAACUGUGGGAAGCAUUGGAGUCAACAUGGGCCAGCAUCCCUGUGGAACUCUUUCCACACCUUGUAGUCCAUGUCCAACAAAUUGAGGUUGUUCUGAGGGCAAACUCAAUAUUAGGAGGGUGUUCCUAAUGUUUUGUACACUAAGUGUACAUUGAAAGCAGGUGGUUCCACACGUGUGGUUACAGAGUUAAUUUUGGGAUGCUAAUUUCUUAAUUGUUUUUAUUUUACCAGAUGAGUUGACAGAACAUAUUUUCAUUUACAGCAAUAACCUGGGGAAUAGCUACCGGGAGAGGGGGCGAAGGAGUCAAUCGGAAGCUGGGGAUGAUUAGGUGGCCAUGAUGGUAUGAGGGCUAAAUUGGGAAUUUAGCCAGGACACCCGGGUUAACACUCUUUCAAUGGCAUUAAUUUUAUUUAACUAGGCAAGUCACUUAAGAACAAAUUCUUAUUUACAAUGACAGCCUACCCCAGCCAAACCCUAACCCUGGGCCAAUUGUGCACUGCCCUAUGGGACUCCCAAUCACAGCCAGCUGCGAUAAAGCCUGGAAUCGAACCAGGGUCUGUAGUGAAUGCCUCCAGCACUGAGAUGCAGUGCCUUAGACCGCUGCACCACUCAGGAGUAUACCACCUGUCACCGGCUUCAUCAAUGACAUCGUCCCCACAGUGACUGUACGUACUAGAGGUCGACCGACUGACUUUUCAAUGCCGAUAACGAUUAUUGGAGGACCAGAAAAAGCAGAUACCGAUUAAAAAAUUUAAUUGAAGGUGGAUUUUUAUUUAAUUGUAAUAAUGACAAUUACAACAAUACUGAAUGAAGUUAUUUUAACUUAAUGUAAUACAUCAAUAAUGGAACAUGUUAAAUUUGUUUUAAAUAAUGCAAAAACAAAGUGUUGGAGAAGAAAGUAAAAGUACAAUAUGUGACAUGUAAAAAAGCUAACGUUUAAGUUCCUUGCUCAGAACAUAUGAAAGCUGGUGGUUCCUUUUAACAUGAGUCUUCAAUAUUCCCAGGAUAGAAGUUUUAGGUUGUAGUUAUUAUAGGACUAUUUUUCUCUAUACCAUUUGUAUUUCAUAUACCUUAGACUAUUGGAUGUUCUUAUAGGCACUUUAGUAUUGCCAGUGUAACAGUAUAGCUUCCGUCCCUCUCAUCGCCCCUACCUGGGCUCGAACCUGGGACACAUCGAUAGUCACCCUCGAAGCAUCUGUACCCAUCGCUCCACAAAAGCCUUGCAGAGCAAGAGGAACAACUACUUCAAGGUCUCAGAGCGAGUGCAACGCUAUUAGCACGCACCCCACUAACUAGCUAGCCAUUUGACAUCGGUUACACCAGUGCACGAAAGUGCUGUUUGAAUGAAUGCUUACGAGCCUGCUGCUGCCUACCAUCGCUCAGUCAGACUGCUCUAUCAAAUCAUGGACUUAAUUAUAAUAAACAGAAAUACGAGCCUUAGGUCAUUAAUAUGGUCAAAUCCAGAAACUAUCAUUUCUAAAACAAAACGUUUAUUCUUUCAGUGAAAUACGGAACAGUUCCGUAUUUUAUCUAACGGGUGCCAUCCCUAAGUAUAAAUAUUGCUGUUACAUUGCACAACCUUCAAUGUUAUGUCAUAAUUAUGUAUGGUCUUUGUUAGGAAAUUAUCUUCACAGUUCGCAACAAGCCAGGCGGCCCAAACUGCUGCAUAUACCCCGACUCUGCUUGCACAGAAGGCAAGAGAAGUGACACAAUUUCCCUAGUUAAAAGAAAUUCAUGUUAGCGGUAAAAAAUAUAUACUAGUGUAUUGAUUUUGAAGAAAGGCACUGAUGUUUAUGGUUAGGUACACAUUAGUGCAACGACAGUGGGUUUUUUCACGAAUGUGCUUGUUAAAUCCUCACCCGUUUGGCGAAGUAGGCUGUAAUUCGAUGAGAAAUUAACAGGCACCACAUUGAUUAUAUGCAGCACAGGACAAGCUAGAUAAACUAGUAAUAUCAACCAUGUGUAGUUAACUGGUGAUUAUGUUAAGAUUGAUAGUGUUUUUGUUUUUUUACAAGAUAGGUUUAAUGCUAGCUAGCAACAUACCUUGGCUUCUUGCUGCACUCGCAUAACAGGUAGUCAGUCUCCUCGUGGUGUGCAAUGUAAUCGGCCACAAUCUGUGUCUAAAAAUGCAGAUUACUGAUUGUUAUGAAAACUUGAAAUCGGACCCAAUUAUCGGCCGACCUCUAGUACGUACAUAUUCCAACCAGAAGUCAUGGAUUACAAGCAACAUCUGCAAUGGGCGAAAGGCUAGAGCUGCCGCUUUCAAGGAGUGGGACACUAAUCCGGAUGCUUAAAAGAAAUCCCGCUAUGCCCUCAGAAGAACCAUCAAGCAGGCAGUGUCAAUACAGGACUAAGAUUGAAUCCUACUACACCGGCUCUCGUCAGAUGUGCCUGGGCUAGCAAACUAUUACGGACUACCAAGUGAAACCCGGCAGCGAGCUGCCCAGUGACACGAGCAUACCAGACGAGCUAAAUUCCUUUUAUGCUCGCUUCAAGGCAAGCAACACUGAAGCAUGCAUGAGAGCACAAUGUUCUGAGCACAUGUUCUGGACGACUGAUCACGCUCUCCCCAUGAGAGCAAGACCUGACGACCCAACAGUGGUAGGCCUGAUCACCGACGAGAGCAUAUAGGGAGGUCAGAGACCUAGCAGUGUGGUGCCAGGACAACAACCUCUCCCUCAAUGCGAACAAGACAAAGAAGCUGAUCGUGGUCUACAGGAAAAGGAGGGAAACUGCUUGGCAUCGACCGUAGGGCGCUACAGAGGGUAGUACGAACGGAGCGGUAUAUCACUGUGCUUCCUGCCAUCUAGGACCUAUAUACUAGGCAGUGUCAGAGGAAGGCCCAAAGUAAUUGCCAAAGAAUCCAAUCAUCCAAGUCAGACUGUUCUCUGCUACUGCACCGCAAGCGGUACCGGAGAACCAGGUCUAGGUCCAAAAGGCUCCUUAACAACUUCUACCCACAAGCCUGCUGAACAAUAAAUCAAAUGGCCACCCAGACUAUUUACAUUGACACCCACCUCAUAACACCCAAGCCAGCAGUAGGAUGCAAGGUGGUGUCAUGCAUACAAAUGGUCAGUUGACCAUUAUCUUGGCUAGCAUGGCUAGAAGAGAUCUGUGACUUUGAAAGAUUUCAAAAAGGGCAUAGGGGGUUUGAAGGGUGGGUGUGUGUGUGUCUCAGUCUCCUCAAUUUAAGUAUUUAAAUAAGUUUAUAUAAAAUACUAUUCAAAACGUUCUCCAAAUAAUUGUUUCCAAAUAUCCCUAGGACCAAACAGACCUAGGUUCAAAUCUGAGUAUUUAAAAAUACACUUAAGUAUUUCCUAAUAAAUUUCCAAAUAUUCAACUACUUGUAUUAAAUUAAAAAAAAAAAAAAAAAAAAAAAAUACUUCCUU